UAAGUUAUAAAUUACAAAGUGAUAAGAAUAUUUUUUACAUACAAAGAACAAUAAUGAAUGGAAUUGUCAAGUUUGUUUAUGUCAUUAUCAUCUUUAUUUCUUUAUUUUUUGUUGCGAGGAGUGCUGAGAUCUACGUCCCCGACGGUAAGUAAUUUUAUCCUAUUCAAAAAAAUUGUUUUGCUUCAUUCUCGAUAUAUAUUUUUCUUCCAAUUUAGUUACACUAACUUAUUCUUCUUUGUUUUUUUCUUUUCAUUAUAGAGAUUAUUAAUUGUAAGAGUUUCUUGGAUUGUCCAUAUGAUAUGUGCCGACGUUAUUUUGAACCAAAGUGUAAGAAGAGCAUUUGUAAAUGUUUUCGAUGGAUGGAUGACCCUUUGUAAAAGUUCUAGACCAAGAAAGUACUAAUGUCAAUCUACAAUAUUCAAUUAGUUGCAAUUUUGUUGGAACUCAAUAAAUUUGGUGGGAUCAUGUUCCUACUAGUGUGUUAGAAGCAUAUAUAGCAAU
rnacentral:lncRNA from 1 species